AUGCAGGAGCCUGAAGGGAAAAAAAAAGGAAGUCACUGCUGAAUAGCAGACAGGUAUAUUUCCUGUGAAUCCUGCUUGAAGUCUGCAUAGCACUAAUCUACCUUGUUUUUCUACGUAUCCUUGUGGUAUGUCUAAGCACUGUGUUAUCCCUCCUGCAAAAGAACUAAAUUGUCAAACUACCCUUAAACUCCCCCUCCCUUUUAUUCUAAGGGUUUUCAUAAAAAGCAGUUCAUAGAUUGAAACAAAUAUUUCAUGCACUCCGAAGAGUUAUGUCUCAAUGAAAGAAAAAAUAUUGAUUGAAAACUGAGUUUGGGAUUUAAUCCAAAAUGUUCCAACCACAUAAUAUAUCUAGCUAUAUUGUUUCAUUUCAUUUCAUGUAGUCAUUAUAUUCUGUUUACAAGCCCCACCAUUUCUCCCAAGAGAGUUUUAGCUUUAAUAUGCUAGUCCAAAAGUUCAUUUUGUCAUGGUCUACGCAACCUCGGCUAGACCCGCUAAAGAAAACGUAAUGCCACAUACUGUGCUAUGCACUGAUAGGCAGUGGCUACUCCGAAAUCAGAGGUUUUUUUAAAAUCCAAUCACCGAAUGUUAUAAAUUGUGAAGUUUGUGACUGCCCAUGAGUUUGUUCUGAUAGCAAAUUAAUCUUGAAGCUAUUUUUGAGAGGGAAAGGGGUGAACUUGCAAUCAGCAUGGAACAGUAGCAUGAGUAAAAAAAAGUGUGCAGUAUUCCAGCUGUUUUCAGAUAGGAGUCCUAUGUAGUAGCAAUGCAGUAUUCUCUGGUACUUUCAAAUAAACUACAUUGCAGAUAGUGCUUGUGAAGCUUUGCUCAGAACUAAGAGCUGAUAAAGAGGAAAAAAAGAAUAUAGAGAACAGUCAUUUAUUCUCAGGACCUAUCAGGGUUUGCAUAAGCUACAUAUAGAAAUACAUAUAGAAAUGCUCUAGCAAGAAAGCAGAAACCAGUUUAUUACAUUUCAUCCAUCCAGAGAAAUCUAUUUCCCACUUGGAUCUGAUUGUGGAGCUUUGCAGUAAUUGUCUUCUUCUUGUACUUUGUACUGUGAAACUCUCAUCCAUAGGAAUAUAUUAACUCACGGGCUCCAGCAUAUCAACCCUGAAGUAAUCCUUUCAAACAAACAGAUGGAUUCAGAAUCCAGUCAGUCUUCAGAGUUAAUUCAUGCACUGUAUUUGUCGCGUGAGAAUGGCAAUGAAUGCUGGAAAUUCAUGUUCUGAACUGCAGAAGCAUGGAAAUCUACAGAGGACUGCAUUACACGUUUCACACAUCAUCAUACCAUAGCAGGUCUUCUAGAAGGACACAGGUGCACAUCUGGAACUGGGCUGGUCAGUCCCUGUGCACGGACUUAUGUACCACGAAGGCGGAGUCAAG